rnacentral:rRNA from 1 species
CCGUCCGUGUCGAGGUGUGUGAUGCUAAGCAUGUGAGCUUGUCUUGGGAGUGUUUUUGAUGCUUCUGGGGUGGGUGAGUGUGUGAACCGAUCAUGUAGUAGGCAAGCUGCGGAGGGACGCAGUGAGGUAGCUCAUCCCCGGUGAUGGUUGUCCGGGGCUAAGUGUGUGGACUGUCUGGUAGGUAAAUCCGCUGGGCGUGAAGGUUGAGGCAUGAUGGGGAGCCCAUGGUUGUGGGUGAGUGAGUGAUCCUGUACUGUCGAGAAAAGCUUCGUGAGCGAGGUGGCGGGUCCGCCCGUACCCUAAACCGACACUGGUGGAUAGGUAGAGUAUACCGAGGCGAUCGAGUGAAUCGUGGUGAAGGAACUCGGCAAAAUGCCCCCGUAACUUUGGGAUAAGGGGGACCUGAGCUGUCGUGCACCCGUGCGGUGUGGUGGCGGUGAGGGGCGCAGAGUCCAGGGGGAAACGACUGUUUACCAAAAACACAGGUCCGUGCGAAGUCGUAAGACGAUGUAUACGGACUGACUCCUGCCCGGUGCUGGAAGGUUAAGGGGAACUGUGAGUGUAUGCGUAGCGGUGAACUUAAGCCCCAGUAAACGGCGGUGGUAACUAUAACCAUCCUAAGGUAGCGAAAUUCCUUGUCGGGUAAGUUCCGACCUGCACGAAUGGAGUAACGAUUUCCCUACUGUCUCCACCAUGAACUCGGUGAAAUUGCAUUACGAGUAAAGAUGCUCGUUACGCGCAGCAGGACGGAAAGACCCCGGGACCUUUACUAUAGUUUGGUAUUGGUGAUUGGGACGGUUUGUGUAGGAUAGGUGGGAGACGUUGAUGCGGCCACGCUAGUGGUGGUGGAGUCGUUGGUGAAAUACCACUCUGAUUGUUCUGGUUAUCUCACUGUGGACCGUGAUCCGGUUCAAGGACAGUGCCUGAUGGGUAGUUUGACUGGGGCGGUCGCCUCCUAAAGGGUAACGGAGGCGCCCAAAGGUUCCCUCAGCCUGGUUGGUAAUCAGGUGGUGAGUGUAAGUGCACAAGGGGGCUUGACUGUGAGACUGACAGGUCGAGCAGGGACGAAAGUCGGGACUAGUGAUCUGACGGUGGCUUGUGGAUGCGCCGUCACUCAACGGAUAAAAGGUACCCCGGGGAUAACAGGCUGAUCUUGCCCGAGCGCUCAUAGCGACGGCAUGGUUUGGCACCUCGAUG